UGAGUUCUACUCCAUGUUAGGAGGUGAAGAUUUACCAUAGCUCACAAACUGGCACUUCUGUGGCAAACUCAGCCCAUGGCUGUUGUUUUGUUUGAUACAGUGUUCUAUAUGCUUGUUUUAUUGGAAUGUCUUUAGCAAAGCCAGGCACUUGCUCCUCCAGUAAGACACAGCUCUCAUUCCUCUCUCCCAUCUUACAUGGAACCUGCCCCAUUCUUCCCGCGGGCCUCAGAGCACUUGAGUUUACAGAUUUCGGUUUCAAGGCUCUACUAAUAUUGUUUGGGAACUUUUUAAAAAGCUUCAAGGUGGCAGAAAACUUUCCUUUUGUACAUCUCUAUUUAGGGUACAAGGGUGGGGAAAUGGAAGAAGGGUGGUAAGGAACAGUGCUAGGAAAUCACAAAGAAGCUGUGUAGGAGCAGAUGCUUUUCCUCGGCUUUCCUACAGAAGCAAAGCUUGUGGAAAACACAAAUGUCACUUGCUCAACUGCAGCUGGGGAUAUGCCCCUGGCAUUAGCAGAUGUGAAGACUGCGCAAGUCAACCUCCACCUGCCUCUGCUCUCCUGGCUCCAGAGAAGAGCUUCUACUUGGUGUAGGGAGUCAAAGAAAAAGCAAGGCACAACCACUCCCACUCAUCACUCACCUUGGAAGUGAGUGAAACAUUCACUGUUUGUCAAGCGGAAAGCUAUAGGCAACCUGUGCACAUCUUGCCCUUCUUUCCUGGGGCUGAAACAGCAGCUAGGAACCUCAAGAUCCAGAUAGUAGUGGAGUCAGCACAAACUAUGCUUCUUCAAGAUGGCUGAUCCAGGCCAUGUCUACAGCCAGAAACUUUAACUAGACCACACUGAGACUCAACCCAGGGAGCAGAGUCCAGCAGCAAGGAAAACUUUCGAAAAUGAUUUUUGAAGAAAGUACAACUUGAAAAAAUAUUUUACACCAUAUGUUUGGAUCACCAUCUGUGACUAUGCUGGGCAACUGGCACGAACUAUGAAGGAUCAAUAAGUGAAAGUCAUCAUGCACACUUCUUUUUACAAUUUGAUUCUGAACACUCUUUGAUAAAGAAACAUUUCGAGCGUUGGUUAAAACUACAGGAAAUAGGUCUUGUAAAA